AAAGUGAACGCUGGCGGUAGGCCUAACACAUGCAAGUCGAACGGCAGCACAGUCCCGCAAGGGAUGGGUGGCGAGUGGCGGACGGGUGAGGAAUACAUCGGAAUCUACCUUUUCGUGGGGGAUAACGUAGGGAAACUUACGCUAAUACCGCAUAAGACCUUCGGGUGAAAGCCGGGGACCUUCGGGCCUGGCACGGAUAGAUGAGCCGAUGUCGGAUUAGCUUGUUGGGCGGGUAAAAGCCCACCAAGGCGACGAUCCGUAGCUGGUCUGAGAGGAUGAUCAGCCACACUGGAACUGAGACACGGUCCAGACUCCUACGGGAGCAGCAGUGGGGAAUAUUGGACAAGUGGGCGCAAGCCUGAUCCAGCCAUACCGCGUGGUGAAGAAGGCCUUGGGUUAGUAAACGCCCUUUUGGUAGGAAA
rnacentral:rRNA from 1 species